rnacentral:rRNA from 1 species
GAGUUUGAUCCUGGCUCAGGACGAACGCUGGCGGCGUGCCUAACACAUGCAAGUCGAGCGAGGUCCAUCCGGUAGCAAUACCGGGGAAGACCUAGCGGCGAACGGGUGAGUAACACGUGAGAAACCUGCCCCGAAGUCUGGGAUAAGCCUGGGAAACCGGGUCUAAUACCGGAUACCCCCUCCGGAUCGCAUGGUCUGGAGAGGAAAGAACUUCGCUUCGGGAGGGUCUCGCGGCCUAUCAGCUAGUUGGUGGGGUAACGGCCCACCAAGGCAUCGACGGGUAGCUGGUCUGAGAGGACGAUCAGCCACACUGGGACUGAGACACGGCCCAGACUCCUACGGGAGGCAGCAGUGGGGAAUCUUGCGCAAUGGGCGAAAGCCUGACGCAGCAACGCCGCGUGCGGGACGAAGGCCUUCGGGUUGUAAACCGCUUUCAGGGGGGACGAAACCAGACGGUACCUCCAGAAGAAGCCCCGGCCAACUACGUGCCAGCAGCCGCGGUAACACGUAGGGGCGAGCGUUGUCCGGAUUUAUUGGGCGUAAAGAGCUCGUAGGCGGCUCGGUAAGUCAGUGUGAAACCUCCAGGCUCAACCUGG